rnacentral:rRNA from 1 species
GACGAACGCUGGCGGCGUGCCUAAUACAUGCAAGUCGAGCGCUGAAGGUUGGUACUUGUACCAACUGGAUGAGCAGCGAACGGGUGAGUAACGCGUGGAGAAUCUGCCUUUGAGCGGGGGACAACAUUUGGAAACGAAUGCUAAUACCGCAUAAAAUCUUUAAACACAAGGUUUAAGUUUGAAAGAUGCUAUUGCAUCACUUAAUGAUGAUCCCGCGUUGUAUUAGCUAGUUGGUGAGGUAAAGGCUCACCAAGGCGAUGAUACAUAGCCGGACUGAGAGGGUGGUCGGGCCAAUUGGGACCGGGACACGGCCCAAACUCCCACGGGAGGCAGCAAUAGGGGAUCUUCGGGAAUGGGGGAAAGUCUGGACGAAGCACGCCGCGUGAGGGAAGAAGGGUUUCGGAUCGUAAAACUCUGUUGGUAGGGAAGAACGUUGGUGAGAGUGGAAAGCUCAUCAAGUGACGGUAACUAAUCAGAAAGCGACGGCUAACUACGUG